rnacentral:rRNA from 1 species
UGGGGAAUAUUGCACAAUGGGGGAAACCCUGAUGCAGCGACGCCGCGUGAGCGAAGAAGGCUUUCGAGUCGUAAAGCUCUGUCCUAUGAGAAGAUAAUGACGGUAUCAUAGGAGGAAGCCCUGGCUAAAUACGUGCCAGCAGCCGCGGUAAUACGUAUGGGGCGAGCGUUGUCCGGAAUUAUUGGGCGUAAAGGGUACGUAGGCGGUUUUUUAAGUCAGGUGUCAAAGCGUGGAGCUUAACUCCAUUAAGCACUUGAAACUGAAAGACUUGAGUGAAGGAGAGGAAAGUGGAAUUCCUAGUGUAGCGGUGAAAUGCGUAGAUGUUAGGAGGAAUACCGGUGGCGAAGGCGACUUUCUGGACUUUUACUGACGCUCAGGUACGAAAGCGUGGGGAGCAAACAGG